rnacentral:rRNA from 1 species
AUUCCAGCUCCAAUAGCGUAUAUUAAAGUUGUUGCAGUUAAAAAGCUCGUAGUUGGAUUUCUGGUCUGAUGCCCUGGCCCGCGUCUUAUAGAUGUGUGUGCCGGCUGUGCGUCUGCCAUCCUUCUAGUAACCCUUCCUACCCUUCACUGGGCCGGGUUGGCGAUCUAGAUCUUUUACUUUGAAAAAAUUAGAGUGUUUAAAGCAGGCUUUUGCUAUGAAUACAUUAGCAUGGAAUAAUAAUCUAGGACUUCGGUUCUAUUUUGUUGGUUUCUAGUACUGAAGUAAUGAUUGAUAGGGAUAGUUGGGGGUGCUAGUAUUGAGCGGCCAGAGGUGAAAUUCUUGGAUUCGCUCAAGACUAACUUAUGCGAAAGCAUUCACCAAGGAUGUCUUCAUCA